ACAGACAUCUAUCAUAUACAAUUGACAUAGAUUAAACUUUAUCACGCCAUUAAUAUAACACACCAGCAAUAAUACAUCCAGUCAAUAAACUAAAUUAGCAAAAGUAAUUCUGUAGAUAAUUAUGAUAGCAACAGUAUUAAACUUGUGAUUAAAGAGAGAGAUAUAUGGACCUUAACGAGAUAAAUUCUCCAAACUAAUUUUUUCAGCUAAUAUGUACAAAUGUAACGACGAACCCCAACAUCUAAACCAAAUAGAAAACAAGCAUCACAACAGAAACAAACUCCGACAGGAACCACAAAUGGCAACCUUUCUAACAACCUCAAAGCUCGGCUAAAAUGGUUUUUGGGACUGCUUCAAGACUGUUUCUCGGCGAAAGAGGUAACAUCUGAGCCACUGUUUCCGGAUGGUUUUUGUUCUGUUCCAGCAACACUCUUAACUAGUGUUUGGUGGCGGAUUUUCGUGGUUAAAAGGUGCGACAAUCGCCAGUGUUCAUGGUUGUUCUGUCGCUGAUUUGCAGCUGGCAUUAAUGGAGGUUUUUUGAAGGAGAGUUGCAGCGAGGAAGAUUAAGGGGAUGGCUGGGCCGUUGUUUGGGGUGAACGGCGAGCUCGCCACUGGUGAGGAGAAGAGGAGUCGAGGGGUCGUUUGGGUAGGGAGGGAAGACGAGAUCGUGGGUGGGGUGGGGGCUGGUCUCCUCUAUAUUGUUGCGGCUGCUCUCUUUCAGACGCCUUUUCUUUUGAUCUUUUAGGUUCGUUUGGCUUAUUAACUCUUUUUAUGUUAAGUCCUUAGGAUCUUUUUUAUUUAUUUUUUUG
rnacentral:lncRNA from 1 species